rnacentral:misc_RNA from 1 species
GUUUGAUCCUGGCUCAGAUUGAACGCUGGCAGGAUGCUUUACACAUGCAAGUCGAACGGCAGCACGGACUUCGGUCUGGUGGCGAGUGGCGAACAGGUGAGUAAUGUAUCGGAACGUGCCUAGUAGCGGGGGAUAACUACGCCGAAAGCGUAGCUAAUACCGCAUACGCCCUUCGAAGAGGAAAGCAGGGGGACCUUCGGGCCUCGCACUAUUAGAGCGGCCGAUAUCGGAUUAGCUAGUUGGUGGGAUAACGGCUCACCAAGGCGACGAUCCGUAGCUGGUUUGAGAGGACGACCAGCCACACUGGGACUGAGACACGGCCCAGACUCCUACGGGAGGCAGCAGUGGGAAUUUUGGACAAUGGGGAAACCCUGGUCCAAUAA